rnacentral:rRNA from 1 species
UUCCGGUUGAUCCUGCCGGAGGCUACUGCUAUCGGAAUUCGAUUAAGCCAUGCGAGUCGAGAGGGUUCGGCCCUCGGCUGACGGCUCAGUAACACGUGGAUAACCUGCCCUCAGGUAGGGGAUAAUCUCGGGAAACUGAGGAUAAUACCCUAUAAGCAUCCUUUGCUGGAAUGCUUGGAUGUUCAAAGGCAACGCCUGAGGAUGGGUCUGCGGCCUAUCAGGUAGUAGUGGGUGUAACGGACCCACUAGCCUACGACGGGUACGGGCCUUGAAAGAGGUAGCCCGGAGAUGGACUCUGAGACACGAGUCCAGGCCCUACGGGGCGCAGCAGGCGCGAAAACUUCGCAAUGCGGGAAACCGUGACGAGGGAAUUCCGAGUGCUCAUACAAUGUAUGGGCUUUUCUGAUGUGUAAAAAGCAUUAGGAAUAAGGGCUGGGUAAGACCGGUGCCAGCCGCCGCGGUAAUACCGGCAGCUCUAGUGGUAGCCACUUUUAUUGGGCCUAAAGCGUCCGUAGCCGGUCGGGUAAAUCCUUGGGUAAAUCGUACAGCUUAACUGUGCGGCUUCCGAGGAGACUGCCCGACUUGGGACCGGGAGAGGUUGGAGGUACUCCUGGGGUAGGGGUGAAAUCCUGUAAUCCUAGGUGGACCACCGGUGGCGAAGGCGUCCAAACCAGAACGGCUCCGACGGUGAGGGACGAGGGCUAGGGGCGCAAACCGGAUUAGAUACCCGGGUAGUCCUAGCUGUAAACGCUGCAGACUUGGUGUUGGAGAUCCCACGAGGGUGUCCAGUGCCGGAGAGAAGUUGUUAAGUUUGCCGCCUGGGAAGUAUGGCCGCAAGGCUGAAACUUAAAGGAAUUGGCGGGGGAGCACCGCAACGGGAGGAGCGUGCGGUUUAAUUGGAUUCAACGCCGGG